UUACUGGGCGUAAAGCGCACGCAGGCGGUCUGUCAAGUCGGAUGUGAAAUCCCCGGGCUCAACCUGGGAACUGCAUUCGAAACUGGCAGGCUUGAGUCUUGUAGAGGGGGGUAGAAUUCCAGGUGUAGCGGUGAAAUGCGUAGAGAUCUGGAGGAAUACCGGUGGCGAAGGCGGCCCCCUGGACAAAGACUGACGCUCAGGUGCGAAAGCGUGGGGAGCAAACAGGAUUAGAUACCCUGGUAGUCCACGCCGUAAACGAUGUCUACUUGGAGGUUGUGCCCUUGAGGCGUGGCUUCCGGAGCUAACGCGUUAAGUAGACCGCCUGGGGAGUACGGCCGCAAGGUUAAAACUCAAAUGAAUUGACGGGGGCCCGCACAAGCGGUGGAGCAUGUGGUUUAAUUCGAUGCAACGCGAAGAACCUUACCUGGUCUUGACAUCCACAGAACUUUCCAGAGAUGGAUUGGUGCCUUCGGGAACUGUGAGACAGGUGCUGCAUGGCUGUCGUCAGCUCGUGUUGUGAAAUGUUGGGUUAAGUCCCGCAACGAGCGCAACCCUUAUCCUUUGUUGCCAGCGGUCCGGCCGGGAACUCAAAGGAGACUGCCAGUGAUAAACUGGAGGAAGGUGGGGAUGACGUCAAGUCAUCAUGGCCCUUACGACCAGGGCUACACACGUGCUACAAUGGCGCAUACAAAGAGAAGCGACCUCGCGAGAGCAAGCGGACCUCAUAAAGUGCGUCGUAGUCCGGAUUGGAGUCUGCAACUCGACUCCAUGAAGUCGGAAUCGCUAGUAAUCGUGGAUCAGAAUGCCACGGUGAAUACGUUCCCGGGCCUUGUACACACCGCCCGUCACACCAUGGGAGUGGGUUGCAAAAGAAGUAGGUAGCUUAACCUUCGGGAGGGCGCUUACCACUUUGUGAUUCAUGACUGGGGUGAAGUCGUAACAAGGUAACCGUAGGGGAACCUGCGGUUGGAUCACCUCCUUACCUGAAAGAAGC
rnacentral:rRNA from 1 species